GGCGGAGGGGCACGGUCUGUGGCGGCAGCUAUGCGGCAUGCCUGGGCCCGUUCUGCCCGGUCCACCAGGGACUUCUCACAACAUUCAAGAUUACUGCCAGUUUACCAGCCUUUUCUCAAAUUCAUCUGUCUGCUGUGGUUGAACCUGGGGGCUGAUUCUCUCCAUCUUCACUCAAGAUCUAAUUUGCCUCAAUAACUCCCAAGGCUUGAGAAUUCAAACGCUGCUGGAACCCUUCAUGAAUUGCCUCUGAUCCUCAAGGAAAUUACAGCAAUUACAAAAUAACUUCCAAACACAUUUAUUUAAACCGCACAUCUCACCUUGGAAAGAAUAAUCUACAACAUUUACACAUUUACAUAUAGACAGAACCUUUAAAUAUGCAACAGAUGUUUCAUUUUCUGAAAAGCUCUUGAAUUCAUUGACAGACCUUUGGCUAAACUGAUGAAUUAAUUUGUUCAGGGCUGAUUUCAUAAGUCCUCUAAUAAUUCAUACCCUUACACAUCUUGACUUGAUUUCUGAGGUCUACAGCAUGUGUUUUAAAUGUUUUAACCUUUACUACUUUAAUCAUGUAACAUUUAUUUCAGGGCUGGAUGAUGAUCAGUCAUUGAAAGAUACAGUUGACUAGGAAAUAAAAUUCAAUUUGUCAGUUAAACAAACCUCUGCAUAUGAAAUAAGAAAUAAUCAGUCUGUAUUACUGGAACUCUGAAAUGCUUAGUGUUUUUGAUGUCACUCUCCCUUUCAAGAAUAUAUAGUACUAGAUUGCUAAAUAUAGCUUGAUGCAGUGCUCGUAUGUGGAAAUCACAGUUACCAUGCUUAUGUAUAACCAAUUUCUCAGGAUGGUUAAAAUGUAAGCCUUUAGCUCUAAACUGAGAUUUAUUUCUAUAAUUUAAAGC